GCCCUUGGCAUAAUGCAGCCCCUUGUCAAAUGACCUAAAAUAAAGCAAAAUUUCAGAACUUCAGAUGACCUAUAGACAUUGUCAUAAACCUUAAACAGAGAAGCUCUGUGUCCUCACAUGGGAAUUUUGUUAGUUAAAAAGUGGGAAAAAGAACAAUUUUGUUUGAAAUAGUUUUACUCUUUUUUUUAUUUCUCUAUCAUUCUUGUAUAUGCUUUACCAUCUUUAUGACCCCACAAAACUCUGAAUCCUUUCAUGGAUGUGAGAUAAGGAGGGGCUUAUAACUCAUAAGAGACUCU
rnacentral:lncRNA from 1 species